rnacentral:lncRNA from 1 species
GUAAUUCAAUUGGAUACUGUUCUUGGAUUGGGUUGGCCACUUGCCAUUUCCCAGAAGCAAUGGUAUGUUCAAGAAUCUCAAGCUUUGCUCAUCUCUUUCCAUUUUAGAUCUCACUCUCACCGAUCUUCUUGACAGCAAACACAAGGUUAGAUACUUCCUCUUUAGCUUGAGUUCUUUGAGAUUCACGCAACAUCUUCUUCUAUCUUUAAUCCUCUAACCCUUGCUCAUAUUCUUUCUCAAAGACUGAAAUUGUUGAUUUAUGAAUUUGAUAUGAUCUCCAAGAUUCUUGCGCCUUUCAAUUUCAGCAUUGAUUCUUCAUUCAACCUAGUUAGGUUUGAUGGAGUUUAAAAACAGUAUGUAGGAUUAACUGUUAAAACAAUCCUGUUUGGACCGGUAUUAUUAGGCUUGAUUGCUAUAGUGUGUGGGGAGAAAAUACAGGAAGUCAGGAGGAAAGUGAGGGUAAGUAAAGGAAUAGAAGAAAGGAGAGAAAAUAAGGAUUCAUUAAAGUUUUUGACAAUUACUUCUGCAAAGAUAUCAAAUGCAGCUUCAGGAAAUACCAAAGUGACUAGCUAAAAGUAUAAUUGAUCAACUAACUAGUAACAGUGCCUAGCUCAGACACAUUACUCGCCUGGAGACAUGGGUUUGAGUAGCAUACCCCAAUCCCCUACUUAACAAUAAAAUAAAAGGAAAUAAAAGCUAACUAGUAACAGUUACUUGAUUACUGAGUAGUUAAUGGGUCCUAGGACAUCUAUCUUUUAGCCACUUUAUUGCUAAUUUUGCUUUAACUGCCAUUGAGGCUGAGAAAAGAGGAAGAGAUAAAGGAACAUAGGCAUAUCCUUUGGAGGAUUAUGCUGUUCAUAUGCUCUAAACCCUAUAAAUUUCUUCUGUCAGGUGGAGAAGACUUAAAAGGUCUAAAGGUUGCAUCCUUGCUGGAUAUAUACUGGUCCAACAGCACAUGCUUACUAAUUGAAUAUUGCUUAUAUCACAUAAAUCUUUUGGUGCCUUUAUGUGACAUAUUUUGGUUUCAUGUAUCCGAGAUCUCCCAUAUUAUGUUAUUUUAUGAGUUAUGCCCUGCCAUAUAUCAAACCUCUCUAUAAAUAUUUACGUUUCAUCAUUUUAAGAGAAAUUUUUUACUGGACAUCAACACAACUGUCAAAUAUUAUAACCAUUCUCAAUAGAAUUGACCACUGGUCACAACCUUGCUAACAAUUAUAAUAUAUUCUUCUUGCCAUAUAUUUAUUUUGAAAAUCUGCAAUGCAUUGACACUGAACUAUACUUUUUUUUUUGUACAUAUUAAAAAACAAGACAAACAUAGCAUAAACUAAGUCUAAUAACUUUUCUUUCGAUAACUGAUAAAAUUCCUGAUAACAAAAUAAAGUAGGUGGAGACUGGAGAGUGUUGCUACUGGCUACAAGGCUAUAUGCAGACAAUAAAGCCUCAUUACAAGUACACAGCAGUGAGUCUUAUCCUAAACUGCAUAGCAAGAUGGCGAAAUAUGAAGCAUUGCAAACAAUAGAUUAUAGACAUAUGUAUUUACCUUUUAAGAUUACAUGAAACUGAAGCUAAGCAAUCAAAUUCUUUGCUGAAACUACCUUUGACUUUACGGCUGCAACUCUGUAGCUCAGUAGCUGAAUUGAAUAUCCCACAAAUUCAUGUUUUUCUCGUUCCCUUAAAGUCUUUCCUGCCAUAUAUCUGAUACUGAUCUGCAGCAAUCAAGUUAGCUGUACUUUGAAUGAUUAGGCGCAUUUUCCUUGAUGCAAUCUGCGAUUCCCUUCUUUCCACUAUUUCCAACAAUUCAGAGGUUCAUGGCUGUUUUUGGCGAUUUCAUGGCUAGAAGAGCUCUCUCCUUCAGAAUACAUUUGUAAAGGACGGAUAUCCCAGACCCCUCCACCUCUCCAGUAGGAAGAGUUAACUUGUGGGAUGUGUGCAACUCUGCUAAAAUCUUCACCUUGUUCAUUUGGACUCAAUGUCCUAAUCAAUUCAUCAGGCAUUUCAAAAAACUCUAGCACUUUUAAUUUAGUCAGAUGCUCAAUUCCUGAGGGAACUUUUCUUAAGGAGUUGCAGCGCUGGAUGAUGAGUUUUUCAAGGCGAGGCAUUGCCCCUUUCUCCACAUGUAUGCUUUUCAGAUCAUUGAAUUUAUCAAGACCUAAUAUUUUGAGCUUCUGAAACCCUCCAGUAGCAAAUGACACAAUCUCUCCAUCAAAAGCCUGAAGUAAUUCAAGAUGAAUUAGAUUCGGCAAAUGUUGAAGAUCUGUAAAUGGAUCUUGUUUAAGUCGACUCCCUUUAAGAAACAAUUUCACCAGUCUGUUGACCAUGGUUAUCCAUUCUGGUAGCUUUUCUAGACGCCCUGUCAAGUACAAUCUCUGAAGAUGCUGAGGAGGUGAAAAUUGGCAUUGAAGGUCAAUGAUUUCCUCCUCUUUAACUGCAGUUAUAGACAGUGCUCGAAGCUUACUUAGCUUUUGAAUGGAAGAGCACAGAACCUUCCCAUCUUCUCUUCUCAACUUAGUGAUGCCUAACCUUCGUAGUUCCUUUAGCUUCCCCAACUCUGUCAUUAUAAUAUGGCUUUCUUUAUUUGCCUCUAUAAAGCAGAGCUUCUGCAGGUUUUUCAACUCUCCUAUUUUUGCAGGUGCUUCAAAACCAUAUUUAUAGUUGAAGUGAGCAUAAGGUUCGAACUCAUACCGAUACACC